CGGAGAAAGUGAGGAGGCUGCGUCUGGCUGCCGCUCUCACAGCCAUUGCAGUACAUUGAGCUCCAUAGAGACAGCGCCGGGGCAAGUGAAAGCCGGACGGGCACUGGGCAACUCUGUGCCUCACUGAGGAAAAAUAACUAAACAUGGGCAAAGGAGAUCCUACAAAGCCGAGAGGCAAAAUGUCAUCAUAUGCAUUUUUUUUUGCAAACUUGUCGGGAGGAGCAUAAGAAGAAGCACCCAGAUGCUUCAGUCAACUUCUCAGAGUUUUCUAAGAAGUGCUCAGAGAGGUGGAAGACCAUGUCUGCUAAAGAGAAAGGGAAAUUUGAAGGUAUGGCAAAGGCAGACAAGGCCCGUGAUGAAAGAGAAAUGAAAACCUAUAUCCCUCCCAAAGGGAAGACAAAAAAGAAGUUCAAGGAUCCCAAUGCACCCAAGAGGCCUCCUUCGGCCUUCUUCCUGUUCUGCUCUGAGUAUCACCCAAAAAUCAAAGGAGAACAUCCUGGCCUGUCCACUGGUGAUGUUGCGAAGAAACUGGGAGAGAUGUGGAAUAACACUGCUGCAGAUGACAAGCAGCCUUAUAAAAACAAGGCUGUGAAGCUGAAGGAAAAAUAUGAAAAGGAUAUUGCUGCAUAUCGAGCUAAAGGAAAGCCUGAUGCAGCAAAAAAGGGAGUUGUCAAGGCUGAAAAAAGCAAGAAAAAGAAGGAAGAGGAGGAAGAUGAAGAGGAUGAGGAGGAGGAGGAAUAUGAAGAAGAUGAAGAUGAAGAAGAUGAUGAUGAUGAAUAAGUUGGUUCUAGCGCAGUUUUUUUUCUUGUCUAUAAAGCAUUUAACCCCCCUGUACACAACUCACUCCUUUUAAAGAAAAAAAUUGAAAUGUAAGGCUGUGUAAGAUUUGUUUUUAAACUGUACAGUGUCUUUUUUUGUAUAGUCAACACACUACCGAAUGUGUCUUUAGAUAGCCCUGUCCCGGUGGUAUUUUCAAUAGCCACUAACCUUGCCUGGUACAUUAUGGGGGUUGUAAAUUGGCAUGGAAAUUUAAAGCAGGUUCUUGUUGGUGCACAGCACAAAUUAGCUAUAUAUGGGGAUGGUAGUUUUUUCAUCUUCAGUUGUCUCUGAUGCAGCUUAUACGAAAUAAUUGUUGUUCUGUUAACUGAAUACCACUCUGUAAUUGCAAAAAAAAAAAAAAAAAAAAGUUGCAGCUGUUUUGUUGACAUUCUGAAUGCUUCUAAGUAAAUACAAUUUUUUAAAUUAGUA